rnacentral:misc_RNA from 1 species
GAAGAGACUGUGAUUUAAAAGAGCAAAUCGGAAUAUGCAUCGAGGCCAUGCUUGUUAAGAUUCUGCUUUAGCUUGUAUAGUGCUCGGGUCUCUAGUUGUCGUACUCGUUCCUUUGACAGUCCAAAAACAGCGCCUAUUUCGGAUAGAGACUUUGGUUUGCCAUCUCCAAUGCCAAAUCUAAGUCGGAUUAUUUUCCUUUCCUUUGGACUCAGGACAUUUAGGAGGCCGCGU